rnacentral:rRNA from 1 species
GACGAACGCUGGCGGCGUGCUUAACACAUGCAAGUCGAACGGAAAGGCCCUGCUUUUGUGGGGUGCUCGAGUGGCGAACGGGUGAGUAACACGUGAGUAACCUGCCCUUGACUUUGGGAUAACUUCAGGAAACUGGGGCUAAUACCGGAUAGGAGCUCCUGCUGCAUGGUGGGGGUUGGAAAGGUUCGGCGGUUGGGGAUGGACUCGCGGCUUAUCAGCUUGUUGGUGGGGUAGUGGCUUACCAAGGCUUUGACGGGUAGCCGGCCUGAGAGGGUGACCGGCCACCUUGGGACUGAGAUACGGCCCAGACUCCUACGGGAGGCAGCAGUGGGGAAUAUUGCACAAUGGGCGGAAGCCUGAUGCCGCAACGCCGCGUGCGGGAUGACGGCCUUCGGGUUGUAAACCGCUUUCGCCUGUGACGAAGCGUGAGUGACGGUAAUGGGUAAAGAAGCACCGGCUAACUACGUG